rnacentral:rRNA from 1 species
GAUGAACGCUAGCGGCAGGCUUAAUACAUGCAAGUCGAGGGGCAGCACGAAUAGCAAUAUUUGGUGGCGACCGGCAAACGGGUGCGGAACACGUACGCAACCUUCCUUUAAGUGGAGAAUAGCCCGGGGAAACCCGGAUUAAUACUCCGUAACAUUAUAAAGUGGCAUCACUUAGUAAUUAUAGAUUUAUCGCUUAAAGAUGGGCGUGCGCCUGAUUAGGUAGUUGGCGGAGUAAUAGCCCACCAAGCCUGCGAUCAGUAACUGGUGUGAGAGCACGACCAGUCACACGGGCACUGAGACACGGGCCCGACUCCUACGGGAGGCAGCAGUAAGGAAUAUUGGUCAAUGGACGCAAGUCUGAACCAGCCAUGCCGCGUGGAGGAUGAAGGUCCUCU